AACGUAGGUGGCUAGCGUUGCCCCGGAAUCACUGGGCGUAAAGCGGGUGUAGGCGGUUCUUUUAAGUCGGAUGUGAAAAUCCAGCGGCCCAACCGCUGAAUUGCAUCCGAUACUGGGGGAACUUGAGGACGGUAGAGGUCGGUGGAAUUCCCCGGUGUACCGGUGAAAAUGGACAGAUAUCGGGGAAGAACACCCCGUGGCGAAGGCGGUUCUCUGGGGACGGUACUGACGCUGAGACGCGAAAAGCGUGGGGGAGCGAACAGG
rnacentral:rRNA from 1 species